ACGUGCUAAUCUGCGAUAAGCGCCGGUAAGGUGAUAUGAACCGUUAUAACCGGCGAUUUCCGAAUGGGGAAACCCAGUGUGAUUCGUCACACUAUCAUUAACUGAAUCCAUAGGUUAAUGAGGCGAACCGGGGGAACUGAAACAUCUAAGUACCCCGAGGAAAAGAAAUCAACCGAGAUUCCCCCAGUAGCGGCGAGCGAACGGGGAGGAGCCCAGAGCCUGAAUCAGCAUGUGUGUUAGUGGAAGCGUCUGGAAAGGCGCGCGAUACAGGGUGACAGCCCCGUACACAAAAGCGCAUGUGCUGUGAGCUCGAUGAGUAGGGCGGGACACGUGGUAUCCUGUCUGAAUAUGGGGGGACCAUCCUCCAAGGCUAAAUACUCCUGACUGACCGAUAGUGAACCAGUACCGUGAGGGAAAGGCGAAAAGAACCCCGGCGAGGGGAGUGAAAAAGAACCUGAAACCGUGUACGUACAAGCAGUGGGAGCACCCUUCGGGGUGUGACUGCGUACCUUUUGUAUAAUGGGUCAGCGACUUAUAUUCUGUAGCAAGGUUAACCGUAUAGGGGAGC
rnacentral:rRNA from 1 species